rnacentral:rRNA from 1 species
GACGGAGGAUGCAAGCGUUAUCCGGAAUGAUUGGGCGUAAAGCGUCCGCAGGUGGCAGUUCAAGUCUGCUGUCAAAAGACCGGGGCUUAACUUCGGAAAGGCAGUGGAAACUGAACAGCUAGAGUAUGGUAGGGGCAGAGGGAAUUCCUGGUGUAGCGGUGAAAUGCGUAGAGAUCAGGAAGAAACAUCGGUGGCGAAGGCGCUCUGCUGGACCAUAACUGACACUCAGGGACGAAAGCUAGGGGAGCGAAUGGG